CAAGAUUUGGGAGGCAUUUUGUGACCAGUUUGUCCCAUGGCACUAGGACUGCUCAUUCCCAUAUUUCCAUAUCUAGAGUUACAUCAUUACAAUCCUUGAUCUUAUAGGAGUAUAUACUUGGUCAAUCAUUUCAAGUCACUAGUCAACAUAAACUUUAUCUGAGACUCAGAUAUACAUAUGGUAAUUCAAGAAACAAUAAUCUUAUAAAACAGGCAGAAUAUAGGUUGUCUGACCAUUCUGUUCUGUACCACUACUACCUUUAUGAAAAACUAUAUAUUGCAUAUGCAUAUAAUCUACAUGCAUAAGAUGGAUGCAUCUCCAAAGACAUAUGCAUAGACAAGAUACAUUUCAGGAACAGACAAAUGGAAGAGAUGGACAGAGCAAACUCCUUACAUACGUAAGGAGUGUGAAGCUUCCAUGUCUUCUCCAAGCUCACCACCCUCCCAGAACCUCCAUGUGUUCACCAGCCUGGAAGCUCUCUGUACCCUCUUGGUGGGCAAUUUUUUAAAAGAGAGGCUUCAUCAUGUAGGCAUGACUGAUUAAAUCAUUGAACUCUGGUG
ensembl:lncRNA